AAACUCCCCCUCCCCACGCACAUUUCUAGAAGGAAAGCUGGAUUUGCACAGCUGUUUGUAGCUUAACCACUUAGGUAUUUUAUUCUUUUUUUUCUAUGCCGCACUGACGUGUACUUUGCGACCAGCGGAGAGAGGCACACAGAGAGAGCAAAGGGAGAGCUUAUAAAUCUGCCAAAUAAAUGACGUGUACCAAGCGGAUUGAGCGCAGACAAACGCACACAGAUAGGCCUACUCCCACUCACACAGACGCCAGAAUGCGCAGGCGCUUCGCGGUCUUUUUUUAAAAAAAGAAGGAAAUGCAAGCUAAAUUAACCGUAAAUUAAUGUAAAGGGAAAACAAGAACUUCACCUAAACGCAAGCUUAGGCUGGCACGUGCGGACGAACUUUUUGUAGCAGACCCCUUUUACUUUUGCCAACAUGGCGACUGUAAAAUUGCAGUGUAUUGGUGACCCUCUUUGCCAUCGGUUCCUUUUCACGAAUAUUCUAGCAGUGCAAAUGCACUUUCCUGUAUUUAGGCCUUUUCUUUGAAUAAACACUUACACUUAUCGCUGAGCGGCUAACAA